GAAUUUGCAGGACAUCGAUAUAUGUUCCCAAUCUCUUGACGGAAUCCUCUACUGCAUCAAAAAUAUGCUUUCGAGAAAGGCCACACUGGUUUGCAAGUUCUGGGGAAUCAAGAAAAUGAACACCACGACUUGACAGAUCCCCAAAAAUUUUUAUCAAAUCUUUUCUGACUGGAAAAAAACACUUUGAAAGAAUAACUAUGCUGCUACGAGGAAUCUCAUAUUUUCGAAUAAACUUUCCAACUAAUUCUUCUGAUACUCCAGCAGAAUAACAGUUUGCUGUGUCAAAUGUACGAAUCCCAGCAUCAUAGGCAGCCUUCAUUAUUUUGAAAACCUCCUCUUCGUCUUCAAGCACCCAAUCUUCCCAAUAUUCUUUUUUACCGUAGCUCAUGCAUCCCAAGAUAAGUUUAGAGACUUUGAGUCCAGAAUUUCCUAGACAGCCAUAUAAUUCUGGUGAUAAUGAAGACAUUUUAUAAAACUUAAAUAAAAAAAACUUUCAAAUUCACGAAUUGUGUAUGAAGCGUUAUAGCUGAUACAAUCGACGAAAAAACGUAUAGGGCAUGACUUUUAUAGCUUGUUAAACGUCACAAGUUUGCUGACUAAUCCUUAGAUGAUGGGCAUUUCUAAGAUUCACAUAGAAGCUUAUUACUUUUAAGCUAAGAUGGAUAAUAUUUUUAAAUAAACAUACGUUUUUCAAAUGCUAUGCGCCACGAUAGUCAAACAAACAAGGAUUUCGGUUGUUUUAUUCUAAUACAUCUACAUAUAUGUAAGCAACUGUUUGACUAGUAGAAUAAAUAAAAGGUUAUGUUGUAUCAAUUUGUUCAAUAUUUCUGUGUAAUGAUUGAAAUGUUCAAGUAGACGUUGAAACCCUCGUUUUCUUUUUUUACAAUAAAUCGUUAAUUUAGUAUAUGAAGCAUGCAAAAACAAUAAUAUGUAUAAAUACAUCGUCUUAAACUUAGACUCAUUAAAUAUUCUUUUAUUCACCAUAAUAAAGUGUUAGCGAUCAUAGCAUAAGCAAAUGUGUAUAGAUAUUUCAAAGUGUGAGAAAAGUUGGAAUAUUACGGAUAUAAUAACUAUGAUCUCAAUAAACUUUGUUGGUAAACUGCCUAUUCAAGAAGUUGUUGUGCAUACUUUAUAAAAAAUUGUGCAGCAUUCAUAUUGUAUCUGCAAAGCAUUUUUCUGUGUCACUGUUGCAUCGAAUAAAUACUUCAAAGGAAUAAUCUCAAUUUCAUUAUGCUUAAUAACGAAAUGUUUAAAUCUGCUGAAUUCACUGGAAUUUAAUAUACUUCGUCUACUAAGAAUCCAAAUAAAAGUUCUUCAUUAAUGUUUGCUA